rnacentral:rRNA from 1 species
GAUGAACGCUGGCGGCGUGCUUAACACAUGCAAGUCGAACGAAGCACUUAUCUUUGAUUCUUCGGAUGAAGAGGUUUGUGACUGAGUGGCGGACGGGUGAGUAACGCGUGGGUAACCUGCCUCAUACAGGGGGAUAACAGUUAGAAAUGACUGCUAAUACCGCAUAAGACCACAGAGCUGCAUGGCUCAGUGGGAAAAACUCCGGUGGUAUGAGAUGGACCCGCGUCUGAUUAGGUAGUUGGUGGGGUAACGGCCUACCAAGCCAACGAUCAGUAGCCGACCUGAGAGGGUGACCGGCCGACAUUGGGACUGAGACACGGGCCCAAACUCUACGGGAGCAGCAGUGGGAAUAUUGCACAAUGGGGAAACCCUGAUGCAGCGACGCCGCGU